rnacentral:rRNA from 1 species
UGCCAGCCGCCGCGGUAAUACGGAGGAUCCAAGCGUUAUCCGGAAUCAUUGGGUUUAAAGGGUCCGUAGGCGGGAAUCUAAGUCAGUGGUGAAAUCUUGCAGCUCAACUGUAAAAUUGCCAUUGAUACUGGAUUUCUUGAAUUAGUGUGAAGUGGUUAGAAUGUGUAGUGUAGCGGUGAAAUGCGUAGAUAUGAUAUAGAACACCGAUUGCGAAGGCAGCUCACUAAACUAUUAUUGACGCUGAGGGACGAAAGCGUGGGGAGCGAACAGGAUUAGAUA